rnacentral:rRNA from 1 species
UACGUAGGGUGCGAGCGUUGUCCGGAAUUAUUGGGCGUAAAGAGCUUGUAGGCGGUUUGUCGCGUCUGCUGUGAAAAUCCGGGGCUCAACCCCGGACUUGCAGUGGGUACGGGCAGACUAGAGUGUGGUAGGGGGAGACUGGAAUUCCUGGUGUAGCGGUGGAAUGCGCAGAUAUCAGGAGGAACACCGGUGGCGAAGGCGGGUCUCUGGGCCGUAACUGACGCUGAGGAGCGAAAGCAUGGGGAGCGAACAGG